GAGAAGGGACAGAAAACUGUGAAACCUGCUAAAAUUUCACACCCGGAGAUAAAGACCCCGGCCUUCUCG
rnacentral:tRNA from 1 species